CCUACGGGAGGCAGCAGUAGGGAAUGUUGCGCAAUGGGCGAAAGCCUGACGCAGCAACGCCGCGUGAUGGAGACGGGCUUCGGGGUGUAAAGACCUGUUAGUGGGGACGAAACUUGACGGUACCCACAGAGGAAGCACCGGCUAACUCCGUGCCAGCAGCCGCGGCAACACGGGGGGUGCAAGCGUUGUCCGGAAUCAUUGGGCGUAAAGGGUUCGUAGGCGGCUCGUAAAGUCUGGUGUUAAAGGCAGAGGCUCAACUUCUGUACGGCACUGGAUACUUGCGAGCUAGAGUGCGGUAGAGGUAAGGGGAAUUCCUGGUGUAGCGGUGAAAUGCUUAGAUAUCAGGAGGAACAUCGGUGGCGUAGGCACUUUACUGGGCCGUAAUUGACGCUGAGGAACGAAAGCCAGGGUAGCAAAUAGGAUUAGAUACCCCGGUAGUC
rnacentral:rRNA from 1 species